rnacentral:tRNA from 1 species
GGACCGGUGGUGCAGUGGGUAAAACAUUACAUCCAGACUUGAAGAGGGAUGGUUCGAUUCCUCCCCGGUCCA